UCUGGGACAAGCCCUGGUAAACGGGGUCUAAUACCGGAUACCACUCCUGCCUGCAUGGGCGGGGGUUGAAAGCUCCGGCGGUGAAGGAUGAGCCCGCGGCCUAUCAGCUUGUUGGUGGGGUAAUGGCCUACCAAGGCGACGACGGGUAGCCGGCCUGAGAGGGCGACCGGCCACACUGGGACUGAGACACGGCCCAGACUCCUACGGGAGGCAGCAGUGGGGAAUAUUGCACAAUGGGCGAAAGCCUGAUGCAGCGACGCCGCGUGAGGGAUGACGGCCUUCGGGUUGUAAACCUCUUUCAGCAGGGAAGAAGCGAAAGUGACGGUACCUGCAGAAGAAGCGCCGGCUAACUACGUGCCAGCAGCCGCGGUAAUACGUAGGGCGCAAGCGUUGUCCGGAAUUAUUGGGCGUAAAGAGCUCGUAGGCGGGCUUGUCACGUCGGGAUGUGAAAGCCCGAGGCUUAACCUCGGGUCUGCAUUCGAUACGGGCUAGCUAGAGUGUGGUAGGGGAGAUCGGAAUUCCUGGUGUAGCGGUGAAAUGCGCAGAUAUCAGGAGGAACACCGGUGGCGAAGGCGGAUCUCUGGGCCAUUACUGACGCUGAGGAGCGAAAGCGUGGGGAGCGAACAGGAUUAGAUACCCUGGUAGUCCACGCCGUAAACGUUGGGAACUAGGUGUUGGCGACAUUCCACGUCGUCGGUGCCGCAGCUAACGCAUUAAGUUCCCCGCCUGG
rnacentral:rRNA from 1 species